AAAAGACCUAUAUAUACAAAAAAAGUUACAGCGGCUCAUUUUGUGCUGGAAAUUGAGGGGGUGCCCAUCCGUUGGGCAAGGGGAUUGUUUGGAGAACUAAUGUUGAGUGAAGAGCAGAACCAAGAGAAUGUCACGGUACAGCAAAAUUAGUGGAAGAGUAAACAUGAAUGGCUAAGCUCUUCGGAGUUCCAGGAAAAUUCAGAUCAACUGUGAAGGACUUCGGAAGGAAAAUGCUAUCUAUCUCCAGAGAAAAAAUGGAUAUAUGGAAGUCACUGCAGUAUGCUAUCCAGCCACCGCUAGGAGAACAAGAGAGAUCAGGAAGGACUACUUGAAGGAGCAG